rnacentral:rRNA from 1 species
UACGAAGGGUGCAAGCGUUAUUCGGAUUUAUUGGGUGUAAAGGGUGCGUAGACGGUAUGUUAAGUCCGCUGUUAAAUUUUCCGGCCUAACCGGAAAUCUGCAGUAAAAACUGGCGUACUAGAGGGUGGAAGAGAGAAGUGGAAUUCUCGGAGUAGCGGUAAAAUGCGUAGAUCUCGAGAGGAACACCAAUGGCGAAGGCAGCUUCUUGGUCCAUACCUGACGUUGAUGCACGAAAGCGUGGGGAGCAAACAGGAUUAGAUACCCUGGUAGUCCACGCUGUAAACGAUAAUCACUAGAUGUUGGCUUUGUUUGACAAGGUCAGUAUCGCAGCUAACGCGUUAAGUGAUUCACCUGGGGACUACGGUCGCAAGAUUAAAACUCAAAGGAAUUGACGGGGGUCCGCACAAGCGGUGGAACAUGUGGUUUAAUUCGACACUACGCGAGGAACCUUACCUAGGCUUGACAUGUAUUUGACCGUCGUGGAAACACGAUUUUCUAGGCUUCGGUCUAGACAGAUACACAGGUGCUGCAUGGCUGUCGUCAGCUCGUGUCGUGAGAUGUUUGGAUAAGUCCUCUAACGAGCGCAACUCCUCCUGCCAGUUGCUACUUUUAAGUAAAACUCUCUGGUGGGACUGCCUGGGAAACCAGGAGGAAGGUGGGAAUGACGUCAAGUCCUCAUGGUCCUUAUGUCUAGGGCUACACACGUGUUACAAUGGCUAGUACAAAGGGCUGCAAGCUCGCAAGAGUAAGCUAAUCCCAUAAAACUAGUCUAAGUUCGGAGUGGGGUCUGCAACUCGACCCCAUGAAGUUGAAAUCGCUAGUAAUCGCGUAUCAGCAACGACGCGGUGAAUACGUUCUCGGACCU